rnacentral:lncRNA from 1 species
UUACGAAAAGAAGCGUGAUUUGUUAUUCUCUUGAUUUACCUUGUGUAAAAUCCUUGAAUUUGUCCAAAUCUGUUUUGGAGAAUAAGGUAACGAAAUUUUCCAAAUUUAUUUUCAAUUUAUAUUCGUGCCUUAAACAGUUUAUGUGGUUGUACAUGAAGUUUGAGUUCCAUUUGACAAACGUUAACUCAACAACGAAGAUUCGACUACACUAUGCCCCCGAUGAGCGAAGGUUUGUUUUAAAUGAAAAAGGUAAAAUCGACCCUUAUUCUUCUGCUUAUCGAGGUAAGAUGCUUGAAACCUUUGAAACACUUUUGUACUCCUCGGAUAGUGAUAAAGAUCGUGUUGAUGAACACUUAGAUCGAAACGUGCUUGACUGUCCUAUUUUAUUUAUUGAUGAUCU